AACGCACCUUGCGCUCCUCGGCCUUCCGAGGAGCAUGCCUGUUUGAGUGCCCAGAAAUUCACUCAAAGUAACAACUUGUUUGUUGCUUUGGAGCGUGGGGGUCUUUGCCUUGCCGUCAUUGGCGAGGCUCCCUUCAAAUACGUUAGCUGGCCCUUUGUAGGUCUGCCCACUGGCUUGAUAUUAAAACGUCGAUGCCGCCGGGUGACUUGCUUUUAAAGGUCGCUUACAGCCGUCCUCUUUCUGGACAAUAUUAUCUGAGCUCGGGCCUCAAAUCAGGUAGGAUUACCCGCUGAACUUAA
rnacentral:misc_RNA from 1 species